rnacentral:rRNA from 1 species
AGCGAACGCUGGCGGCAGGCCUAACACAUGCAAGUCGAACGAACUCUUCGGAGUUAGUGGCGGACGGGUGAGUAACACGUGGGAACGUGCCUUUAGGUUCGGAAUAACUCAGGGAAACUUGUGCUAAUACCGAAUGUGCCCUUCGGGGGAAAGAUUUAUCGCCUUUAGAGCGGCCCGCGUCUGUUUAGCUAGUUGGUGAGGUAAAGGCUCACCAAGGCGACGAUCAGUAGCUGGUCUGAGAGGAUGAUCAGCCACAUUGGGACUGAGACACGGCCCAAACUCCUACGGGAGGCAGCAGUGGGGAAUCUAGCGCAAUGGGCGAAAGCCUGACGCAGCCAUGCCGCGUGAAUGAUGAAGGUCUGAGGAUUGUAAAAUUCUUUCACCGGGGACGAUAAUGACGGUACCCGGAGAAGAAGCCCCGGCUAACUUCGUG